GGUGGCUACGAGGUUGUUUUCUCGACACUUGACCUCUGUACACCUCGCCGUUCGUGUAGAAUAUAAAUGAGAGAAAUUUGUAAGUACUGGUGUGCCUCAGUGAAGCAGAUUUCAUCUACGAGUCUCGACUCUGAGUCAUUGUACAUCAGGAGUGACAACGAUAUCACGUCAUCAUGCGACACGUGCUGAUGGUUGUAGCGGUGCUGGUGGUGCUGUGUCAGCUGACUGCUGCUGCAGCGACUCGCGAUGACCCAGGCCAGUCACUUGUUGCUGCCGACAUCGAUGCUGAGGGGGAGGGAGGGUUGCUGCAUUCGUUGAAGAAACGAGCGGUGUUCCAGCGUCCGCGCCCCGGUAGAAGUAGCGCGACUUAUGCCACGACGACGACCGCAGCCGAGAUGGGACCAAAGACGAGGACCUAUUCUGGUGUGAGAGACAGUUACUACCGCCACUGAAAAAUGUCUUCUUCACCACAGGAAAUUAUGCUUUGUCUCGCCAUUUCCAUUCACAGCUUUUUCAAAUGUUCAGCUGGCGAUGUUUCUAUCUUUGACUUUGCACACAACAGUUUGAUGUGACAGUCGGUGGUGUUGAGACGAUGGCAGGACGAGAGAUGACGUGGACUGAAGCAAACAACAUGAUGUCACGUGUCCUCCAGCUGCUGUGAUUGUCUUUAGCAGUCUGCUGAUUUCACAAAAAUAAAACAUUCAAACUGAAAAA
rnacentral:lncRNA from 1 species